GACGAACGCUGGCGGCGUGCUUAACACAUGCAAGUCGAACGGUAAGGCCCUUCAGGGUACACGAGUGGCGAACGGGUGAGUAACACGUGGGUGAUCUGCCCUGCACUUCGGGAUAAGCCUGGGAAACUGGGUCUAAUACCGGAUAGGACCACUGCCUGCAUGGGUGGUGGUGGAAAGCUUUUGCGGUGUGGGAUGGGCCCGCGGCCUAUCUGCUUGUUGGUGGGGUGAUGGCCUACCAAGGCGACGACGGGUAGCCGGCCUGAGGGGGUGACCGGGCAGACUGGGAGGGAGAUACGGCAGAGACUGCGACGGGAGGCAGCAGUGGGGAAUAUUGCACAAUGGGCGCAAGCCUGAUGCAGCGACGCCGCGUGAGGGAUGACGGCCUUCGGGUUGUAAACCUCUUUCAGCAUCGACGAAGCGAAAGUGACGGUAGGUGCAGAAGAAGGACCGGCCAACUACGUGCCAGCCGCCGCGGUAA
rnacentral:rRNA from 1 species